UACGUAGGUGGCAAGCGUUGUCCGGAAUUAUUGGGCGUAAAGCGCGCGCAGGCGGUCCUUUAAGUCUGAUGUGAAAGCCCACGGCUCAACCGUGGAGGGUCAUUGGAAACUGGGGGACUUGAGUGCAGAAGAGGAGAGUGGAAUUCCACGUGUAGCGGUGAAAUGCGUAGAUAUCAGGAGGAACACCGGUGGCGAAGGCGGCUCUCUGGACGGUGACUGACGCUGAGACGCGAAAGCGUGGGGAGCAAACAGG
rnacentral:rRNA from 1 species